GAUGAAGAACUCAGCGAAAUGCGAUACGUAAUGUGAAUUGCAAAUUCAGUGAAUCAUCGAGUCUUUGAACGCACAUUGCGCCCCCUGGUAUUCCGGGGGGCAUGCCUGUCCGAGCGUCAUUGCUGCCCUCAAGCACGGCUUGUGUGUUGGGCCCCGUCCUCCGAUCCCGGGGGACGGGCCCGAAAGGCAGCGGCGGCACCGCGUCCGGUCCUCGAGCGUAUGGGGUUUUGUCACCCGCUCUGUAGGCCCGGCCGGCGCUUGCCGAUCAACCCAAAUUUUUUAUCCAGGUUGACCUCGGAUCAGGUAGGGAUACCCGCUGAACUUAAGCAUAUCAAUAAGCGGAGGA
rnacentral:misc_RNA from 1 species